rnacentral:rRNA from 1 species
AUUACCCGCUGAACUUAAGCAUAUCAAUAAGCGGAGAAAAAGAAACUAACAAGGAUUCCCUAGUAACUGCGAGUGAAGCGGGAAAAGCUCAAAUUUAAAAUCUGGCAGUCUUUUGGCUGUCCGAGUUGUAAUCUAGAGAAGUGUUAUCCGCGCUGGACCGUGUACAAGUCUCCUGGAAUGGAGCAUCAUAGAGGGUGAGAAUCCCGUCUUUGACAUGGACUGCCAGGGCUUUGUGAUGCGCUCUCAAAGAGUCGAGUUGUUUGGGAAUGCAGCUCAAAAUGGGUGGUAAAUUCCAUCUAAAGCUAAAUAUUGGCGAGAGACCGAUAGCGAACAAGUACCGUGAGGGAAAGAUGAAAAGAACUUUGGAAAGAGAGUUAAACAGUACGUGAAAUUGCUGAAAGGGAAACGCUUGAAGUCAGUCAUGUCGUCCAGGGAUCAACCUUGCUUUUGCUUGGUGCACUUUCUGGUUUGACGGGUCAGCAUCAAUUUUGACCAUUGGAAAAAGGCUAAGGGAAUGUGGCAUCUUUGGAUGUGUUAUAGCCCUUGGUCGCAUACAAUGGUUGGGAUUGAGGAACUCAGCACGCCGAAAGGUCGGGUUUUUAACCACGUUCGUGCUUAGGAUGCUGGCAAUAUGGCUUUAAUCGACCCGUCUUGAAACACGGACCAAGGAGUCUAACAUGCCUGCGAGUGUUUGGGUGGAAAACCCGAGCGCGUAAUGAAAGUGAAAAGUUGAGAUCCCUGUCGUGGGGAGCAUCGACGCCCGGACCAGACCUUUUGUGACGGUUCCGCGGUAGAGCAUGUAUGUUGGGACCCGAAAGAUGGUGAACUAUGCCUGAAUAGGGUGAAUCCAGAGGAAACUCUGGUGGAGGCUCGUAGCGAUUCUGACGUGCAAAUCGAUCGUCAAAUUUGGGUAUAGGGGCGAAAGACUAAUCGAACCAUCUAGUAGCUGGUUCCUGCCGAAGUUUCCCUCAGGAUAAUC